rnacentral:rRNA from 1 species
UUCCGGUUGAUCCCGCCGGAGGUCACUGCUAUUGGGAUUCGACUAAGCCAUGCGAGUCGCGAGGGUUCGGCCCUCGGCUGACGGCUCACUAACACGCGGAUAAUCUGCCCUUAGGUGGAGGAUAACCUCGGGAAACUGAGAAUAAGACUCCAUAGCUCUAGGAUGCUGGAAUGCACUUAGAUCAAAAACUUCGGUGCCUAAGGAUGAGUCUGCGGACUAUCAGGUAGUAGUCAGGGUAAUGACCUGACCAGCCUAUGACGGAUACGGGUUGUGAGAUCAAUAGCCCGGAGAUGAUAUCUGAGACACGAUAUCAGGCCCUACGGGGCGCAGCAGGCGCGAAAACUUCACACUGUGCGAAAGCACGAUGAGGGAAUCCCAAGUGCUGGCUCGUAAGAGUCAGCUGUUUUUCUGUCUAGAAAACAGAGAGAGUAAGAGCUGGGUAAGACGGGUGCCAGCCGCCGCGGUAAUACCUGCACCUCAAGUGGUGGCCGCUAUUAUUGGGCCUAAAACGUUCGUAGCCGGUCUAGUAAAUGCCUGGGUAAAUCAUACGGCUUAACCGUACGAAUUCCGGGUAGACUGCUGGACUUGGGACUGGGAGAGGCUAGAGGUACUCCUGGGGUAGAGGUGAAACUCUGUAAUCCUAGGGGGACGACCAGUGGGCGAAGGCGUCUAGCUAGAACAGGUCUGACGGUGAGGAACGAAGCCCUGGGGCGCAAACGGGAUUAGAUACCCCGGUAGUCCAGGGUGUAAACGCUGCUUGCUUGAUGUUAGUCGGGCUCCGAGCCCGAUUAGUGUCGGAGAGAAGUUGUUAAGCACCCUGCCUGGGGAGUACGGCCGCAAGACUGAAACUUAAAGGAAUUGGCGGGGGAGCACCCCAACGGGUGGAGCGUGCGGUUUAAUUGGAUUCA